rnacentral:rRNA from 1 species
GNAGGNGGCAAGCGNNGUCCGGAANNACUGGGUGUAAAGGGAGCGUAGGCGGGGAGGCAAGNUGAAUGUCUAAACNAUCGGCUUAACUGAUAGUCGCGUUCAAAACNGCCACUCUNGAGUGCAGUAGAGGUAGGCGGAAUUCCUAGUGUAGCGGUGAAAUGCGNAGAUAUUAGGAGGAACACCAGUGGCGAAGGCGGCCUACUGGGCUGUAACUGACGCUGAGGCUCGAAAGCGUGGGUAGCAAACAGGAUUAGAUACCCUGGUAGUCCACGCCGUAAACGNUGAUUACUAGGUGUGGGGGGACUGACCCCUUUCCGUGCCGGAGUUAACGCAAUAAGUACUCCGCCUGAGUAGUACGUUCGCAAGAAUGAAACUCAAA